rnacentral:rRNA from 1 species
UACGUAGGGUGCGAGCGUUGUCCGGAAUCACUGGGCGUAAAGGGCGCGUAGGUGGUGGCUUAAGCGUGCGGUGAAAGCUCGGAGCUCAACUCCGAGUCGGCCGUGCGAACUGGGCUCACCUGGAGCAUAGUAGAGGCAGGUGGAAUUCCGGGUGUAGCGGUGGAAUGCGUAGAGAUCCGGAAGAACACCGGUGGCGAAGGCGGCCUGCUGGGCUAUGGCUGACACUGAGGCGCGACAGCGU